ensembl:snRNA U6 U6 spliceosomal RNA
GUGCUUGCUUCGGCAGCACAUACACUAAAAUUGGAAUGAUACAGAGAAGAUUAGCGUGGCCCCUGCGCAAGGAUGACAUGCAAAUUCGUGAAGCGUUUCAUAUUAAA